rnacentral:rRNA from 1 species
GUAGUCUCGCACAGAUGCAUAUCAAUAAGCGGAGGAAAAGAAACUAACAAGGAUUCCCCUAGUAACGGCGAGUGAAGCGGGAAGAGCUCAAAUUUGAAAUCUUAAAGGGUUUCCCUUUACGAAUUGUAGUUUAAAGAAGUGUUUUCUGUUGAGGUUUUGGUAAAAGUUCUUUGGAAUAGGACAUCAUAGAGGGUGAGAAUCCCGUAUUUGACCUUUACUUUCAACUUUGUGAUACACUUUCAAAGAGUCGGAUUGUUUGGGAAUGCAGUCCAAAAUGGGUGGUAAAUUUCAUCUAAGGCUAAAUAUUGGCGAGAGACCGAUAGCGAACAAGUACCGUGAGGGAAAGAUGAAAAGAACUUUGAAAAGAGAGUUAAACAGUACGUGAAAUUGUCAAAAGGGAAGCGUUUGACACCAGUGUUGUUUUUCUGAAAAUCAAUUAAAGAACUGUUUAUGCUAAGCUGUUUAGACUUUAUCAGCUAUCUGUUUAGUUUUGAGCUUUUCUUUAAUGCACUUUUCAGUUAACAAGUCAACAUCAAUUUCUUUUGCUGUAAAAAAGCUUGAGGAAGGUGGCUUGAGAUUCGUCUUAAGUGUUUAUAGCCUCUUGCCUAUGCAGUCGGAGAGAUUGAGGUCUGCAGCGUAGAUCCUUCGGGGCUAAAUGCAUUUGUGCUAAGUUAUAGCAUUUUAUAGACAACUUGUUGACUAUGAUUUGUCUUGUAGCUUACUCGCUUAUGUUAUUUUACCUACGCUUAGGAUGUUGAACUCUAUCACACACAG